CAACAAGUGCAGACUUGGAAAGUAGGGGAAAUAGAACUCCGAAGUUAAGCAUGCUCAGGCUGGGGUAGUAAUAGGAUGGGUGACCGACUGGGAAGUUAGGCGAUUUGAAAU
rnacentral:rRNA from 1 species